rnacentral:rRNA from 1 species
UGCAGUCGAACGAUGAACCUCACUUGUGGGGGGAUUAGUGGCGAACGGGUGAGUAACACGUGAGUAACCUGCCCUUGACUCUGGGAUAAGCCUGGGAAACCGGGUCUAAUACUGGAUACGACCUUCUGGCGCAUGCCAUGUUGGUGGAAAGCUUUUGUGGUUUUGGAUGGACUCGCGGCCUAUCAGCUUGUUGGUGGGGUAAUGGCCUACCAAGGCGACGACGGGUAGCCGGCCUGAGAGGGUGACCGGCCACACUGGGACUGAGACACGGCCCAGACUCCUACGGGAGGCAGCAGUGGGGAAUAUUGCACAAUGGGCGCAAGCCUGAUGCAGCGACGCCGCGUGAGGGAUGAAGGCCUUCGGGUUGUAAACCUCUUUCAGUAGGGAAGAAGCUGGCCUUUGGGUUGGUGACGGUACCUGCAGAAGAAGCGCCGGCUAACUACGUGCCAGCAGCCGCGGUAAUACGUAGGGCGCAAGCGUUAUCCGGAAUUAUUGGGCGUAAAGAGCUCGUAGGCGGUUUGUCGCGUCUGCCGUGAAAGUCCGGGGCUUAACUCCGGAUCUGCGGUGGGUACGGGCAGACUAGAGUGCAGUAGGGGAGACUGGAAUUCCUGGUGUAGCGGUGAAAUGCGCAGAUAUCAGGAGGAACACCGAUGGCGAAGGCAGGUCUCUGGGCUGUAACUGACGCUGAGGAGCGAAAGCAUGGGGAGCGAACAGGAUUAGAUACCCUGGUAGUCCAUGCCGUAAACGUUGGGCACUAGGUGUG